GUUCUGCGCUAUCGCGGGAUCUCCGCUUCUCGCCCCUCCCGGGCCGUGCGACCUACGGGCGCGCCUCGGGGGAGCGGUUCCUGGUACGGCCCUGGAACCGCCAGGGAUCAGGACGCUCGGAAGAAGGGGAACGACGCUGGUGAUCCGGUCUGUGCUGGCCACCACCAUCUCGGGUCUUUGCUUCAGGCCCUUUUUCUGCUGUGACCUGCAGUGUCUGCGGGAGAGGACGACGCACCAGGACCCCCAGAAAGACGGAAAUGGACUUGGUGACCUUCGAGGAUGUGACCAUGAACUUUACCCAGGAGGAAUGGGCUCUGCUGGAUCCUUCCCAGAAGGACCUUUACAGAGAAGUUGUUGGGGGAAAUCUUGAUGAAUUUGGCCUCUCUAGGAGAAAAAUGGAACCAGAACAUUGAAGAUUGGCACAGAAAUCAGGGGAGAGUCUUAAGCAACUAUAUUGUAGAAAAAUGCAGUGACAGCAAAGAAAGUAGCCAUUGUGGAGAAAUCUUCAGCCAGAUUCUUGACUGUGAUCUGAACAAGAAAAGUCUCACCAGAGUAAAAACAUGUGAAUGCUGUGUAUGUAGAACAGUCUUCAUGCCUCAUUCAUCCAGUAAUCCCAUCAGUGCUCACAAUGGACAGGAAGUACAUGAUUAUGAAUAAGCAAUGUGAGAAAACCUUCAGUUACUACUACUCUACAAAUUUAUGAUAGGCCUCACACUGGAGACAAACCCGGUGAGUGUCAGGAACGUGAGGAAGCCUUCCUUUCUUUUAUCAGCCUUAGAGAUAUGUGGUAACCCAUGCUGGAGGUGGACCCCAUAAAUGUAGUGUGUGGUGAAAAGGUUUGCAGUAUCCCAGUUCACUUAGAAUCCAUGAAAGGAUUCAUUCUGGGGAGAAGCCAUAUCAGUGUGAACAGUGUGGGAAAGCCUUCAGCUGUGUAGGCUCAGUUCGGAGGCAUCAAAGGAUGCACACUGGUAAGAAACCCUACCAAUGUAAGGUGUGUGGGAAGGCCCUCUGUUCUCUGUCAGGCCUUCAAGGACAUAUGAUAAGGCACACUGGAGGUGGACCUUAUAAAUGCAAGGAAUGUGCAAAAGUCUUUAACUCUCCCAGUGCACUUAGGAAACAUGAAAGGAGCCACACAGGAGAGAAGCCUUUCCCAUGUAAAUACUGUGGGAAAGCCUUCAUUUGUUCAACUUCAGUCUGAAAACAUGAAAGGACGCACACUGGGGAGAAGCCCUGUGAGUGUAAGGAAUGUGGGAAAGUCUUGUCUCUCACUCAGGCCUUCAAGGACACAUGAUCAGGCACACUGGUGAUGGGCCUUAUAAAUGUAAAUUUUGUGGAAAGGCCUUUGGUUCUCCCAGUGCAGUUCUAAGGCAUGAAAGUGCUCAUGAGUUUCUAUGACUAAGGUGUGGGAAUGCCUGGACCCCUUGUUCAGUCAUUUGAGGACAUGUGAUCACUCACAGUGGGAAAAAAAUCGUACAAAGUAUAAGGCAACUGAGAAAACCUUUAAAGAUCCUAGUUCAAGUACAGAAAAGAAUUACACUGGAGAGGAACCCUGUUUUGGAAAUGUGAGGAAACCAUAAACUGUCAACGUUUAUAUGGAAUGCAUGAAAAGGCUCACACUGGGAAAAAACCUUAUGAAUAAAAAAGUGAACCCUUA